UAUGUCAAAAUCUGAGGCCCAAAUUGGAAACUCAAAAAUGAACUCCAUAUAUUUGAACAGAAAAUGUAACAGGUGAAGAAGCAACCAUGUGAUAAGUGACAAAGUCAAUCAGAAAAAUUCAUGCCAACCUUCUAUAUCUUUUACUAGGCGGUUGUGGCCGAGCAGAGGUUUUCAUCACGGACUGGAAGAAUUUAUCCGUGCCUGAGUGGCGGCUCUCCUAAUGGACCAUGGCCCUCUUGUGCGGUUCUCCUAUCUCUGAAAUGCAGGGAAGUGGACUCAGGAGAGGAACAAGAGGAACUUCAGGAGCUUCAAAGCAAGACAGUGGAGGUAAAACAGAAAGGAUUGUUCUAGAUAAGCCUGUGUGAUGCUCUCUCCUGGGGAAAGACUACCACCUGGAGAGAAGUGAGUAUAUGACUGAACCUCAGGCUGUGACCUUGGAACCCUGUCUGAUUUUGGU